CCGCUGCUUAAAAUGGCUGAGAGCGCGGGGGGGCGCCCGCUGGCCAAUCCCCCUCGCUGACGCCAUCGAGGGCGCGGGAGCGGCUGGGCCCGGACGGCUGUGCGGGGGCCGGCGGGGGAUGACGAGGAGCGGGGCCUGCCUGAGGAGUCCCCCAAAAUGUGACCACGACCCCACUCCCAACUGAGGGGACACAUGACAUGAGUAGCUGAACACGCUGUUGGAAAUCAUACAGGAUUUCUUUUUUAUUAAACUUCAGGCUUUCGGGGCAUCAUA